rnacentral:rRNA from 1 species
AUUGAACGCUGGCGGCAUGCUUUACACAUGCAAGUCGAACGGUAACAGGCCGCAAGGUGCUGACGAGUGGCGAACGGGUGAGUAAUGCAUCGGAACGUGCCCAGUCGCGGAGGAUAACGCAGCGAAAGCUGCGCUAAUACCGCAUACGAUCCAUGGAUGAAAGCGGGGGACCGUAAGGACGCGCGCGAUUGGAGCGGCCGAUGUCAGAUUAGGUAGUUGGUGGGGUAAAGGCUCACCAAGCCAACGAUCUGUAGCUGGUCUGAGAGGACGACCAGCCACACUGGGACUGAGACACGGCCCAGACUCCUACGGGAGGCAGCAGUGGGGAAUUUUGGACAAUGGGCGCAAGCCUGAUCCAGCAAUGCCGCGUGCAGGAAGAAGGCCUUCGGGUUGUAAACUGCUUUUGUACGGAACGAAACGGUCCUGGUUAAUACCCGGGGCUAAUGACGGUACCGUAAGAAUAAGCACCGGCUAACUACGUGCCAGCCGCCGCAGUAACAC